AAGCCUGAUGCAGCCAUGCCGCGUGUGUGAAGAAGGCCCUAGGGUUGUAAAGCACUUUCAGCGAGGAGGAAAGGUUCAAGGUUAAUACCCUUGAGCUGUGACGUUACUCGCAGAAGAAGCACCGGCUAAUACCGUGCCAGCAGCCGCGGUAA
rnacentral:rRNA from 1 species